GCCUUCGCGAGCGUCUGGGCGGGUGGUAGGUGAGUGGGUAUUGCGGGCUAGUAUCCGAGCAAAAGAUGGUGGCGCAGGCCGAGUUAAGAGCUUUAAUCCUGUGAAGACAUCUUAGUGAAGAGUUUAGAGUGCUGAGAGUUGAAAGCUUGCACGUGGGAAACGUGCGGCCGGACUGCCACAUGUACUGAGGUUGAGUCGUGACGGCCACAGGCUCCGAGUUUUGGCGUGAGGAACCGCUGAUCGGCCACGGGCGCCGAACUUGCUGGCCUCCGGCAUGUGCCUGAGCGGCGGCGGAAAAACCACCUUAAUUGGGGCGGAGGGUUAGUUUUAACAGCAAAGGGCCUUUACUAAAAUGGCGAAGGCCUUCCGUCGGCGUUGUUUUAAAAUGGGAAGCCUCGACCCUGUAUUGAAACUGAGCUGUUCGAAGGCGGCGUUGUGUGCAAUUCGGAUUAAUGAAGGGGAAGGGUUUUGUGUGGAAAAACGCCUUGGAGUGUGACAUUUCUGCGAGAAUGCUUAAAUACCGAUUUCCCGCAGGAACAAUGGCGCUGUCUUCAGUGGCACAGUGGAGCAGCUCUGAAGAUGCAAAGAUACACGAAAAAACUUCCAGAACAUCUGGGAGAAUAUUUAAUGGAAAAUCGCUUGGUUAAAACCUGACACUUUUAACAGGUAUGUGUUGUUUUAGUACUUUAUGAUUGAGCAUAGCAUUUAAUCCACACCUAGACUAAAUCAAAUUUUUUUUGUCAGUGAACAGCGUUCUGAGUGUGGACGAGUAGCCAGUGAAGAUAAUGAAUGUCGAAUGUGACUGACUAGCAGCUUCAUUUUGAAUGAGGGUCGCUGUCUGCCCAUUGAUAGAGGCCAGAUUGUCUUGGAAGUUCCAAAGUUGCAACGAUUUCUGGCUAGUGCCACGAGGUUUACUUGACUGUUGUGUGAAAAGCUGAUAAGAAAACCAUCCAGAAAAAAGCUCUUCGUUUUACAAACAUGAAAAUAAAACAUGUAAUUUUG
rnacentral:lncRNA from 1 species